rnacentral:rRNA from 1 species
UACGAGGGCCCCGAGCGUUAUCCGGAUUUAUUGGGCGUAAAGGGUCCGUAGGUGGUUUAUCGCAUCUCCUGUUAAAUUCCGAGGCUCAACUUCGGGCUGGCGGGAGAGAUGGACAAACUAGAGGCCGGACGAGGCAUGUAGAAUUGCUGGUGUAGGGGUUAAAUCCGUUAAUAUCAGCAAGAAUACCAAAUGCGAAAGCAUCAUGCUUGGACGGUCCUGACACUGAGGGACGAAAGCGUGGGGAG